rnacentral:rRNA from 1 species
UACGUAGGGUGCAAGCGUUGUCCGGAAUCACUGGGCGUAAAGCGCACGUAGGCGGACUCUUAAGUCGGUGGUGAAAUCCUGGAGCUCAACUCCAGAACUGCCUUCGAUACUGAGAGUCUUGAGUCCGGGAGAGGUGAGUGGAACUGCGAGUGUAGAGGUGAAAUUCGUAGAUAUUCGCAAGAACACCAGUGGCGAAGGCGGCUCACUGGCCCGGUACUGACGCUGAGGUGCGAAAGCGUGGGGAGCAAACAGG